UACUGUUCAUGAUGAUUUAAAUCAAUGGGAAUCUCUCUGAAUUAGACUGAAAGACAAUCCUUUUUUUAACUGAAACAGUA